rnacentral:tRNA from 1 species
CUCCAGAUAGUCUAGUGGUUAAGGCUAUGGAUUGCCAAUCCGGACACGGCGGGUUCGAUUCCCUUUCCGGUCG